CCUACGGGGAGCUGCAGUGAGGAAUAUUGGUCAAUGGACGAGAGUCUGAACCAGCCAAGUAGCGUGAAGGAUGACUGCCCUAUGGGUUGUAAACUUCUUUUAUAUGGGAAUAAAAUGUUCCACGUGUGGGAUUUUGUAUGUACCAUAUGCAUAAGGAUCGGCGAACUCCGUGCCAGCAGCCGCGGUAAUACGGAGGAUCCGAGCGUUAUCCGGAUUUAUUGGGUUUAAAGGGAGCGUAGGUGGAUUGUUAAGUCAGUUGUGAAAGUUUGCGGCUCAACCGUAAAAUUGCAGUUGAAACUGGCAGUCUUGAGUACAGUAGAGGUGGGCGGAAUUCGUGGUGUAGCGGUGAAAUGCUUAGAUAUCACGAAGAACUCCGAUUGCGAAGGCAGUUCACUGGACUGCAACUGACACUGAGGCUCGAAAGUGUGGGUAUCAAACAGGAUUAGAUACCCUUGUAGUC
rnacentral:rRNA from 1 species